rnacentral:lncRNA from 1 species
AAAGAAAAAUAUAGAUAGUAAGGAAAAUGAGAGUGCAGUUAAGAAAAUGUUGUCCAUGAUUUAUCUAACUUAUUCUUUAGCAAUAUAUAUAAUUAAUUAUAUAAAAUAAAAAAAUGAGGACUCAAGGAUUUUUAAUAUCCAUGCGAAUUUAGGAGGAGAUCAACAAACACUUUUUAGUUAGAGGAGAACCAUAACAUAUAGCAUAAUAUAUAUAAGCCCAAAACACAGGAGCUGAAACAAAAGAUCAGGAGCUCCUCUUAACAAGCAGAUCAUCUAAACCAGAAGAAGCCCAAGGAUUAAAUCUAGGAGUAGCGUAUGUGUUGAACUUGCCGAAAAUGAUUUUGUGCUGCUGUGUUACAUGCAGUUGGAAGAUCAUUCUCCAAGUCUUCCAGCGUAGUCUGCUUCUUGGAAUUUGAUUGAUCAGAAGAGAACAGAUGAAAAACCCUACCCAAAACAUGGUAAAACAUGGUGAAGAAGGAACAAAAAACCUUAGAGCUUCUCAGAACCAUGGUUUAUGGGUGCUCUAGUGACUAGGAACAGUUCUGGUGACUUUAUGAGAUUGAUCAAAAAUAUAUUCCAAAUGUGGAACCCACGGCUAUUAAAAAU